UGCACUCAUGCAUCAUACAUUGCUAAUUUUGGAAGUUCAUUUCAAGUGUGCAAAUAUCAACUGAAUUGGCUAUAAAUAAAGCUCCAUAUGCUCAGAAUUUCACACAUUGGCGCCAACUUUGAUCCCAAACCUCUAACCCUCUCAUUCCAAAGGACAAUCCUGAGAAUUUCACUUGAACUUCAGUUUGAAUUCUGACUGUUUUGAGAUUCAAAACUCUAGGGAUCCAAGAC
rnacentral:lncRNA from 1 species